rnacentral:rRNA from 1 species
UACGUAGGGGGCAAGCGUUAUCCGGAUUUACUGGGUGUAAAGGGAGCGUAGACGGUUAGUCAAGUCUGAAGUGAAAGCCCGGGGCUCAACCCCGGAACUGCUUUGGAAACUGAUUAACUAGAGUGCAGGAGAGGUAAGUGGAAUUCCUAGUGUAGCGGUGAAAUGCGUAGAUAUUAGGAGGAACACCAGUGGCGAAGGCGGCUUACUGGACUGUAACUGACGUUGAGGCUCGAAGGCGUGGGGAGCAAAC